rfam:Acidovorax citrulli AAC00-1, complete genome.
CGCGUUUUUCGCCCAGGCGGAGCUCGACCGCCGGCUGAAGUGAUGUACGCCUUCGUGGAUCGGUACCGCCAGCAGCACGGGGUCGAGCCGAUCGUCAGUUCAAUGCGCAGCGUCCG